GGUUAAGCGACUAAGCGUACACGGUGGAUGCCCUGGCAGUCAGAGGCGAUGAAGGACGUGCUAAUCUGCGAUAAGCGUCGGUAAGGUGAUAUGAACCGUUAUAACCGGCGAUUUCCGAAUGGGGAAACCCAGUGUGUUUCGACACACUAUCAUUAACUGAAUCCAUAGGUUAAUGAGGCGAACCGGGGGAACUGAAACAUCUAAGUACCCCGAGGAAAAGAAAUCAACCGAGAUUCCCCCAGUAGCGGCGAGCGAACGGGGAGCAGCCCAGAGCCUGAAUCAGUGUGUGUGUUAGUGGAAGCGUCUGGAAAGGCGCGCGAUACAGGGUGACAGCCCCGUACACAAAAAUGCACAUGCUGUGAGCUCGAUGAGUAGGGC
rnacentral:rRNA from 1 species